UACGAAGGGGGCUAGCGUUGUUCGGAUUUACUGGGCGUAAAGCGCACGUAGGCGGAUCGAUCAGUCAGGGGUGAAAUCCCAGAGCUCAACUCUGGAACUGCCUUUGAUACUGUCGAUCUAGUAUGGAAGAGGUGAGUGGAAUUCCGAGUGUAGAGGUGAAAUUCGUAGAUAUUCGGAGGAACACCAGUGGCGAAGGCGGCUCACUGGUCCAUUACUGACGCUGAGGUGCGAAAGCGUGGGGAGCAAACAGG
rnacentral:rRNA from 1 species